rnacentral:rRNA from 1 species
AUGGAGCCGACCUUGAAAUACCACCCUUUAAUGUUUGAUGUUCUAACGUUGACCCGUAAUCCGGGUUGCGGACAGUGUCUGGUGGGUAGUUUGACUGGGGCGGUCUCCUCCUAAAGAGUAACGGAGGAGCACGAAGGUUGGCUAAUCCUGGUCGGACAUCAGGAGGUUAGUGCAAUGGCAUAAGCCAGCUUGACUGCGAGCGUGACGGCGCGAGCAGGUGCGAAAGCAGGUCAUAGUGAUCCGGUGGUUCUGAAUGGAAGGGCCAUCGCUCAACGGAUAAAAGGUACUCCGGGGAUAACAGGCUGAUACCGCCCAAGAGUUCAUAUCGACGGCGGUGUUUGGCACCUCGAUGUCGGCUCAUCACAUCCUGGGGCUGAAGUAGGUCCCAAGGGUAUGGCUGUUCGCCAUUUAAAGUGGUACGCGAGCUGGGUUUAGAACGUCGUGAGACAGUUCGGUCCCUAUCUGCCGUGGGCGCUGGAGAACUGAGGGGGGCUGCUCCUAGUACGAGAGGACCGGAGUGGACGCAUCACUGGUGUUCGGGUUGUCAUGCCAAUGGCACUGCCCGGUAGCUAAAUGCGGAAGAGAUAAGUGCUGAAAGCAUCUAAGCACGAAACUUGCCCCGAGAUGAGUUCUCCCUGACUCCUUGAGAGUCCUGAAGGAACGUUGAAGACG